UACGUAGGGUGCGAGCGUUGUCCGGAAUUAUUGGGCGUAAAGAGCUUGUAGGCGGUCUGUCGCGUCUGCCGUGAAAUUUCGGGGCUCAACCCCGAACUUGCGGUGGGUACGGGCAGACUAGAGUGUGGUAGGGGAGACUGGAAUUCCUGGUGUAGCGGUGAAAUGCGCAGAUAUCAGGAGGAACACCAAUUGCGAAGGCAGCUCGCUGGGACGUUACUGACGCUGAGACGCGAAAGCGUGGGGAGCAAACAGG
rnacentral:rRNA from 1 species